rnacentral:lncRNA from 1 species
CUCACAGGGUCUGAAGCCCCCUACUGUGGGUCCUGAACGUCAAAGAGGCUGCAGGAGAUUCUGGUCUCAACUUAGCCACUCCACCCUGGCAAAUCGCCUCACUUGGAAUGGAGAUUCUUCGUCUUGUCACAUUCCUGUCUGUCGUACAGGCUGCUGUGAGCAUCAGAUGGAUGACUUGGGGGAGCGGAGGGGAUCCCAAGGCUUCUGCUGAUGGCUCAUCCAGGGCCAGAGCUCAUCUCUCUCCUAGGCCUAAAUUGCCAAAGCCACCAUUCCUGUCCACCCGCCCUUCCCCAGAGCUUAUGGCCUGAGGAUAACUUGCAAUCCUAAGAUGGAUAACCUGCAAUACAAGAAGUCAGUGGUGUGCCUGGAAUAUGCCCAGAGUGCUGAGAGUACAGGCUGUAACAGGCCUGGGGUAGACUGAAUGUGCCUGAAGUCAUCAAAAUGACAGUCUCAUUCAUGAUCAACCUGGGGCUCAAAACAUGGAAUUAAUUAUGGGCCAAGAAGACCAAAUUCCUUUUGUACUUUUCAUUUGGAUGUGAAGUCCCUAGGCAAACAAAAUCCACUGCUAAUGUUGCCAAUAAGAGCCCACAUGAAAUAAUUGACCUGGUAAGGAAAUUAAAAGUGAUUAGGGACUACGAAGGUGGAAAGUCAGUGACAGGUAUGGCUCACCAGUCAGGCACGUCCCAUUCCACCACAGCUACUAUCUUGAAGAACAAGAGUAAAGUGAUGGAAGCUGUUAAAAGAUCUGCUUCAUUGAAGCCAACAAGACUAACAAAAAUUCAAGAAGG